rnacentral:rRNA from 1 species
UUCUCGUAGGGGUGAACCUGCGGAGGGAUCAUUACCGAGUUUACAACUCCCAAACCCAAUGUGAACCAUACCAAACUGUUGCCUCGGCGGGGUCACGCCCCGGGUGCGUCGCAGCCCCGGAACCAGGCGCCCGCCGGAGGGACCAACCAAACUCUUUACUGUAGUCCCCUCGCGGACGUUAUUUCUUACAGCUCUGAGCAAAAAUUCAAAAUGAAUCAAAACUUUCAACAACGGAUCUCUUGGUUCUGGCAUCGAUGAAGAACGCAGCGAAAUGCGAUAAGUAAUGUGAAUUGCAGAAUUCAGUGAAUCAUCGAAUCUUUGAACGCACAUUGCGCCCGCCAGUAUUCUGGCGGGCAUGCCUGUCCGAGCGUCAUUUCAACCCUCGAACCCCUCCGGGGGGUCGGCGUUGGGGAUCGGGAACCCCUCAGACGGGAUCCCGGCCCCGAAAUACAGUGGCGGUCUCGCCGCAGCCUCUCCUGCGCAGUAGUUUGCACAACUCGCACCGGGAGCGCGGCGCGUCCACGUCCGUAAAACACCCAACUUCUGAAAUGUUGACCUCGGAUCAGGUAGGAAUACCCGCUGAACUUAAGCAUAUCAUAA